rnacentral:rRNA from 1 species
UACGUAGGUGGCAAGCGUUGUCCGGAUUUACUGGGCGUAAGGAUGCGUAGGCGGACAUUUAAGUCAGAUGUGAAAUACCCGAGCUUAACUUGGGUGCUGCAUUUGAAACUGGGUGUCUAGAGUGCAGGAGAGGUAAGUGGAAUUCCUAGUGUAGCGGUAAAUGCGUAGAGAUUAGGAAGAACACCAGUGGCGAAGGCGACUUACUGGACUGUAACUGACGCUGAGGCAUGAAAGCGUGGGGAGCAAACAGG